rnacentral:misc_RNA from 1 species
GUGCAUGAUUUGGUGCCAAAGUUACAAUGCUUAAGGGCACUGUCCCUAACUUCUUAUGAUUUUCAAGUGUUACCGGAUUCUAUUGGUGCUUUGAAGCAUUUGCGAUACCUUGACUUGUCAUAUACUCCAAUCAAAAGAUUGCCUAACUCAGUGGAUAAACUCUUCAACUUACAAACAUUGAUGUUGCGUCAUUGUGUUGAGCUUAUUGAGUUACCUAGAGGCAUCUGUAAUUUACUCAACUUGCGGUAUCUUGAUAUUACUGGCACAUCAAGUUUGCAAGAGAUGCCACCACAUAUCGGUAAUUUG